rnacentral:rRNA from 1 species
AGACCCGAAACCCGGUGAUCUAGCCAUGGGCAGGUUGAAGGUUGGGUAACACUAACUGGAGGACCGAACCGACUAAUGUUGAAAAAUUAGCGGAUGACCUGUGGCUGGGGGUGAAAGGCCAAUCAAACCGGGAGAUAGCUGGUUCUCCCCGAAAGCUAUUUAGGUAGCGCCUCGUGAACUCAUCUCCGGGGGUAGAGCACUGUUUCGGCUAGGGGGCCAUCCCGGCUUACCAACCCGAUGCAAACUGCGAAUACCGGAGAAUGUUAUCACGGGAGACACACGGCGGGUGCUAACGUCCGUCGUGAAGAGGGAAACAACCCAGACCGCCAGCUAAGGUCCCAAAGUCAUGGUUAAGUGGGAAACGAUGUGGGAAGGCCCAGACAGCCAGGAUGUUGGCUUAGAAGCAGCCAUCAUUUAAAGAAAGCGUAAUAGCUCACUGGUCGAGUCGGCCUGCGCGGAAGAUGUAACGGGGCUAAACCAUGCACCGAAGCUGCGGCAGCGACACUUUAGUGUUGUUGGGUAGGGGAGCGUUCUGUAAGCCGUUGAAGGUGUCCUGUGAGGGGUGCUGGAGGUAUCAGAAGUGCGAAUGCUGACAUAAGUAACGAUAAAGCGGGUGAAAAGCCCGCUCGCCGGAAGACCAAGGGUUCCUGUCCAACGUUAAUCGGGGCAGGGUGAGUCGACCCCUAAGGCGAGGCCGAAAGGCGUAGUCGAUGGGAAACGGGUUAAUAUUCCCGUACUUGGUGUUACUGCGAAGGGGGGACGGAGAAGGCUAUGUUGGCCGGGCGACGGUUGUCCCGGUUUAAGCGUGUAGGUGUGUGUUCCAGGUAAAUCCGGUUCACUUUAACACUGAGGCGUGAUGACGAGGCACCACGGUGCUGAAGCAACAAAUGCCCUGCUUCCAGGAAAAGCCUCUAAGCAUCAGGUAACAUCAAAUCGUACCCCAAACCGACACAGGUGGUCAGGUAGAGAAUACCAAGGCGCUUGAGAGAACUCGGGUGAAGGAACUAGGCAAAAUGGUGCCGUAACUUCGGGAGAAGGCACGCUGACACGUAGGUGAAGUGAUUUACUCAUGGAGCUGAAGUCAGUCGAAGAUACCAGCUGGCUGCAACUGUUUAUUAAAAACACAGCACUGUGCAAACACGAAAGUGGACGUAUACGGUGUGACGCCUGCCCGGUGCCGGAAGGUUAAUUGAUGGGGUCAGCGCAAGCGAAGCUCCUGAUCGAAGCCCCGGUAAACGGCGGCCGUAACUAUAACGGUCCUAAGGUAGCGAAAUUCCUUGUCGGGUAAGUUCCGACCUGCACGAAUGGCGUAAUGAUGGCCAGGCUGUCUCCACCCGAGACUCAGUGAAAUUGAACUCGCUGUGAAGAUGCAGUGUACCCGCGGCAAGACGGAAAGACCCCGUGAACCUUUACUAUAGCUUGACACUGAACAUUGAGCCUUGAUGUGUAGGAUAGGUGGGAGGCUUUGAAGCGUGGACGCCAGUCUGCGUGGAGCCGACCUUGAAAUACCACCCUUUAAUGUUUGAUGUUCUAACGUGGACCCGUAAUCCGGGUUGCGGACAGUGUCUGGUGGGUAGUUUGACUGGGGCGGUCUCCUCCUAAAGAGUAACGGAGGAGCACGAAGGUUGGCUAAUCCUGGUCGGACAUCAGGAGGUUAGUGCAAUGGCAUAAGCCAGCUUGACUGCGAGCGUGACGGCGCGAGCAGGUGCGAAAGCAGGUCAUAGUGAUCCGGUGGUUCUGAAUGGAAGGGCCAUCGCUCAACGGAUAAAAGGUACUCCGGGGAUAACAGGCUGAUACCGCCCAAGAGUUCAUAUCGACGGCGGUGUUUGGCACCUCGAUGUCGGCUCAUCACAUCCUGGGGCUGAAGUAGGUCCCAAGGGUAUGGCUGUUCGCCAUUUAAAGUGGUACGCGAGCUGGGUUUAGAACGUCGUGAGACAGUUCGGUCCCUAUCUGCCGUGGGCGCUGGAAGAUUGAGGGGGGCUGCUCCUAGUACGAGAGGACCGGAGUGGACGCAUCACUGGUGUUCGGGUUGUCAUGCCAAUGGCACUGCCCGGUAGCUAAAUGCGGAAAAGAUAAGUGCUGAAAGCAUCUAAGCACGAAACUUGCCCCGAGAUGAGUCUUCCCUGAGACUUUGAGUCUCCUGAAGGAACGUUAAAGACGAUGACGUUGAUAGGCCGGGUGUGUAAGCGCAGCGAUGCGUUGAGCUAACCGGUACUAAUGAACCGUGAGGCUUAACCUUACAACGCCGAAGCUGUU